GGAGAGGUGACAGAGCGGCCGAAUGUGACGGUCUUGAAAACCGUUGUGUCCGCAAGGGCACCAGGGGUUCGAAUCCCCUCCUCUCCG
rnacentral:tRNA from 1 species